rnacentral:rRNA from 1 species
GACGAACGCUGGCGGCGUGCCUAAUACAUGCAAGUUGAGCGCUGAAGGUUGGUACUUGUACCGACUGGAUGAGCAGCGAACGGGUGAGUAACGCGUGGGGAAUCUGCCUUUGAGCGGGGGACAACAUUUGGAAACGAAUGCUAAUACCGCAUAAAAACUUUAAACACAAGUUUUAAGUUUGAAAGAUGCAAUUGCAUCACUCAAAGAUGAUCCCGCGUUGUAUUAGCUAGUUGGUGAGGUAAAGGCUCACCAAGGCGAUGAUACAUAGCCGACCUGAGAGGGUGAUCGGCCACAUUGGGACUGAGAACCGGCCCAAACGCCUACGGGAGGCAGCAGUAGGGAAUCUUCGGCAAUGGACGAAAGUCUGACCGAGCAACGCCGCGUGAGUGAAGAAGGUUUUCGGAUCGUAAAACUCUGUUGGUAGAGAAGAACGUUGGUGAGAGUGGAAAGCUCAUCAAGUGACGGUAACUACCCAGAAAGGGACGGCUAACUACGUGCCAGCCGCCGCCGUAA